UACGUAGGGUGCAAGCGUUGUCCGGAAUUAUUGGGCGUAAAGAGCUCGUAGGCGGUUUGUCGCGUCGAAUGUGAAAACCCGGGGCUCAACCCCGGGCCUGCAUUCGAUACGGGCAGACUAGAGUUCGGUAGGGGAGUCUGGAAUUCCUGGUGUAGCGGUGAAAUGCGCAGAUAUCAGGAGGAACACCGGUGGCGAAGGAGGGACUCUGGGCCGAUACUGACGCUGAGGAGCGAAAGCGUGGGGAGCGAACAGG
rnacentral:rRNA from 1 species